GCAGUGAGCCAGACGACCGCCCCGAGCGAGGCGCGAAGCGCCGAGCCGAGGGGAGGAAAGUCCGAACUCCGCAGGGCAGUGCGCCGGGUAACGCCCGGUCGGGGCAACUCGAAGGACAGUGGCACAGAAAACAUACCGCUCCGAUGGCGACCCUAAAAGGGUCGCCCCACACGGUGGCGCGGGGCUUUCAGGCCCGCGAUCGAAGUAAGGGUGAAAAGGUGCGGUAAGAGCGCACCGCGCCCGUGGCAACACGGGUGGCAGGCAAAACCCCGCACGGAGCAAGACCAAAUAGGAAGGCGACCCGGCGCUCGAUGCGCCGGGGAAAACAAGGAUGGCCCGUCCGACGCCUUCGGGUAGGUCGCUUGACGUCGCCAGCGAUGGCGACGCUAGAGGAAUGGUCGUCAUCCGUUGUCGCUCGUAUGAGCGACGGCGGGCACAGAAUUCGGCUUACGGCUCACUGCGAAA
rnacentral:RNase_P_RNA from 1 species